rnacentral:tRNA from 1 species
GAGAAGUAACUAAGAUCUGCUAACUCUUUAACCUGAUAAUAAUAUAUCAGACUUCUCU